rnacentral:lncRNA from 1 species
GUGUUUUUCUGUUUCAAUGAGGACCAUCUUUUUCAUCGUAUUAGGGAAAGAAUACCAAAGAACAGCAAUGGAAGGAUAAGACCAAAAAAGAUGGUCCUCAUUGAAACAGAGGGGUGCUGUGGCUUCCUGCAUGAAUGCAUUCAAAAGUCGGGUCCUGAGGUUCUUUGUGGGGACCCGACCUUGGAGCUGGGGACGGCGGUCGACGGGAUGACCAGCCGGGACCUCUUCCCGAGGUAUUGGAGGCACAGGAAAACAGCGGCCCCAAAUUAUGAACAACCACAGGCCUCAGAUGCAUUUCGGCU